GAUGAACGCUGGCGGCGUGCCUAAUACAUGCAAGUCGAGCGAAUGGAUUAAGAGCUUACUCUUAUGAAGUUAGCGGCGGACGGGUGAGUAACACGUGGGUAACCUGCCCAUAAGACUGGGAUAACUCCGGGAAACCGGGGCUAAUACCGGAUAACAUUUUGAACCGCAUGGUUCGAAAUUGAAAGGCGGCUUCGGCUGUCACUUAUGGAUGGACCCGCGUCGCAUUAGCUAGUUGGUGAGGUAACGGCUCACCAAGGCAACGAUGCGUAGCCGACCUGAGAGGGUGAUCGGCCACACUGGGACUGAGACACGGCCCAGACUCCUACGGGAGGCAGCAGUAGGGAAUCUUCCGCAAUGGACGAAAGUCUGACGGAGCAACGCCGCGUGAGUGAGGAAGGCUUUCGGGUCGUAAAACUCUGUUGUUAGGGAAGAACAAGUGCUAGUUGAAUAAGCUGGCACCUUGACGGUACCUAACCAGAAAGCCACGGCUAACUACGUGCCAGCCGCCGCUGUAA
rnacentral:rRNA from 1 species